AGGAUAAUAAUUUAAAAAAAAAUAUUUAAUUUGCAAUUAAAAAAUAUUAAAAUAUUUAUCUUU
rnacentral:tRNA from 1 species